UACGGAGGGUGCAAGCGUUAUCCGGAUUCACUGGGUUUAAAGGGUGCGUAGGAGGGCAGGUAAGUCAGUGGUGAAAUCCUAGAGCUUAACUUGGAAACUGCCAUUGAUACUAUUAAUCUUGAAUAUUGUGGAGGUCAGCGGAAUAUGUCAUGUAGCGGUGAAAUGCUUAGAGAUGACAUAGAACACCAAUUGCGAAGGCAGCUGGCUACACAUAUAUUGACACUGAGGCACGAAAGCGUGGGGAUCAAACAGG
rnacentral:rRNA from 1 species